UAUUGACAACACCUGAAGAGCAAGGAAAUUAACAGUGAACUGGGUGAGAGACCCUGGCUGAAAGGAUUCUAGCCAGUAAGACUGCUGAAGCAUGUGGAUAAAAUCCCUUGAUAAGCUUUUAUCAGCAGAAGUGUCAGUUGAAAGUCUGGUCCAAUAUACUGCAGACUGUGACAGAUGACGUCAUGAAGUGUGGCACAGCCUCUAACGCGGCACAUGCAUGCACAAACCUUACCAUGAGUGUCAGAGCAGAAAUGGAGUAAGUGGGAAACCAAAGAAACCUGGACAACCUUGGAACAACUGAAGAUCUGCGAUAUGCUAAACAGACUGCUCUAUUUGAAUGAAUUAAUAUCAGCUUAUGUCUUUAGGUAGUGCACCAUGUAUAUGAUGUAACUCCCAUUGACUUUCGUUGAGAAUUAUGGUGACAUAUAGGGAGGAAAGAUGAUUUCCUGUGGUGUGUAAAUACUGCAAGUGUUCUGUGGUCCCUAGAGGGAAAAUCACUGAGGGAUAAGGUCAAAUGUAGAGUGUAAUUCACUAAAACGAUCAUAUUGAAAGCUAUGUUUAUAUCAAGUUAGAAAUCCCUUCUGGAAUAACAGACUGCCAAGGUAAAAUCUGAGUUUGUCUAAUGAAGAAUCGGAGCAGAGACCUGAAGCUUAACCUCCUACAUUGGAGGCAAGUGCUCUAACUGCUGAGUCAAUGUCAUUGUGGGGUCUGGUGUUUACAAUCUCUCUGGAGUUGUUCCAUUUUGUAUAGCUACAAUGGCAUGGUAAUAAUAGGUAGGAUGGAUUCUGAAAAUGAAACUAAAUCAAUUGGAAGAGAGAUUAAGUCACAUAUAAAAUUACUUUGUUUUGGAUGUCAUCAGAGUAAGAUUCCAGGACGUUUAUAACGAGUUCAAUAAGGAUUCAUUCAGCAAUUUCUGUUCUGUACCAUGACCUUCCAAAGUUCUACUCACCCUAUCAUCCAAGUGAAAGAAUUUAUUUUGGCAGCUGCAAUUUUUUCAAGCCUGCCUUCUCCGUCCCGAAGGCUAUCUCAGAUAAGGCAGUGAAAAAAACGCACAUGAGAUUAAAUGUUCUCUGAAAUCAUGCAGUCGACCCGCAGUGAAACAGCUCAUUUGAAUGAGUGAAAGGACACAGUAUCACAGUACAGGAAAGCGGCCAAUGAACGUGAGGACAGGAGGGAUGAACAUGAGGACAGGAGGGACGCUCGAGAUGAGAGGUGGCAGCAGGAAGAUCA